UGUCUUUUCUUGCUCGAUUGCGUAAGAGCGUUAAUGCUGGCUCUUUGUUAUGUUUAAUUUUGUUCCCUCGUUCAGACGAGAACGCCGAUGAUCAUGGUUGGCGAACGAGCCACCGCAAACCAGGGUCGCCUGGACACGGCCUUUCUCGGAAAGGAGACCCACACCGACAUCCAGGCUCUGAAGAUCGAGGGUCGAAGACCGCGGCGGAGGCCCGUGUCACGAGCUUACGCGUACGACUGCCGGGAAAUUCAUCGCAGCCAUUUACAGCUGGGCAUGCAACUACACGUGUCAUGGAGCCGUUUGUAAAUGCGCGCCCAUGUAUGGGCGCCCCAGUCGCGUCAUCGUGCCUGAGGAGGUCUCGUCGGCGCUCGAGAUACUUCGUCGACGGCCGACGGUUGCCUUUCUUUCUGUAUAACUUCCCCUUCUUCUCCCGCAUUUCUCAUCAAGGCAUGCUUCAAAGAAAUCUCUGUUCGAGUUCACUCGCCGAAUCACGGACUCGCAGCCACGCUCCGGUUCAUUAGGCGAGGAAGCAAUUCGAAUGAAAUGGAACGGCGUUUCUUUUUCCCUUCGUAUAAAACUGAAAUGGUACCGUGUAGGGGUAAAGAAAGUAGAAAGAACUGCUUAAGAAUUGUACAUUUGAUACACAUCUAAGGUGAAAACGUUGCUGAUGCAUACAUGUGCGUAGCAGUUAAGACAAGUUUUCAGUUAUGAGUCGAUCAGGCGAAAGGGGUCGAAGAGUGCGAAAUGUUUAGCGGACCCCGCCAACUUUCCCAAGAAGAACG